rnacentral:lncRNA from 1 species
AGGGAAAAGCUUUUCUAUUUGCAGAAUCCAGCCUUCUGUGGCCAAGGGAUCGAGUCCACAUUCGAAGUAGGGUGGGUUUAAUCUUCUAAACUCGACAAUGUUAUGGGAGAUAGAACGAUCACGGCAUUAGUCUUGCACUGGGGGAUGCUGGCAGUGGAUGACUUGGUUUUGUCCUAUUGCUGCAAUUUGACCUUGGAUGGCUCAAAAGAGCUCGGUAAACUCAACCUUGGUCAGAGGACCUAGGUUUCGGGUCUUUCGGUUCGUUCUACGAAUGGUCUUCCUAGAGUCAUUAGUCCUACAAAAGAAAAGGGAGACAAUGACUUGGUGGACUAGUUUUCAAAAAAGGAAAUUUCUUAAGUAUCUAGAGUAGUUUUCCCUAUACCAAAGCCUCAAUGUAAGGGA